rnacentral:rRNA from 1 species
GGAGUUAGGAAAUGUAAGUGCGCUAAUAUCGUGCUUAUUUGACAAAGGCUCCAAAGGAAGCCACGGCUAACUCUGUGCCAGCAGCCGCGGUAAUACAGAGGUGGCGAGCGUUGUUCGGAAUUAUUGGGCGUAAAGAGCACGUAGGUGGGUUUGCAAGUCAGAUGUGAAAGCCUUCUGUUCAACGGAAGAAUUGCAUCUGAAACUGCUAAUCUUGAGUAUAGGAGGGGAGAGUGGAACUUCUG